rnacentral:misc_RNA from 1 species
AAGUCGUAACAAGGUUUCCGUAGGUGAACCUGCGGAAGGAUCAUUAACACGUAUCCAAAAAGUGAACCUUCAGCGUGUUCUUGCAGGCUAAAGAAUUACAGAUUUUGAUUUUGGGAAGUUCUGUGUGUACGUGGACGCUGCAAUUGAGCGCUAGAUAAAGCACCCUGGUACCCUAGAGCACUCCCCUGUCUGAAAGCGGCAGGGAUCAAUGUUCAGGGUGGCGCAGUCAACGAUCGCUGUAGGUCCACACGACCGGCGACCGGGGUGGAGGCGAAAGCCCCUACGUCAUCCCUAUGUACCCUCCGGGACUUGGCGAAAGCUGACUCCGUCAUAAAUCGAACAACUGUUAACAAUGGAUAUCUUGGUUCUC